AUAUAAAAACGGGGAAGGGGAUUGACCGGGCCGUUACCCUACCUUUCUCCCCUUUCCCAUCCCUUUCCUCUGUCCGCCGCCGUGCCGCCUGGGGGCGGAUUCGUCGCGCCGCUGCUUGGGAGCCUAGCCGUCGCCAUAGUCUGGCGCUGCCGGACAGAUCCUCCGCCGAUCUGGUCCUCCCUCACCUCGAUCCAGCUCGGUGGCUGACCAAACCAUGCUGAAAUUCAAGCACACCACUCACAAAAAACCUGGGGCUCGUCGGCUCGCGUGGCUCAGAUGACUUGCGAGCGCGUCUUCGUCCGUGCAAGCAGGCUGGGAAACAACCUAUCUACAAGGAUACUUCUUCACCUGAAGGAUCUGACUAAGAAGAGGAGAUGCAAUACAAAGAACCGAUAGAGUAUGUUGUUGUUCGGGCAAAUGUUCCCAAGCCUGGAACACGGAAGCCCUCCUACAUGCCUCCUCCACCUCCAAAUCAGCCUCCCGGUGAUGCUCGCCACAUUUCUUUUGAGCCUCCUCCAUCUCUAGGUCACAAAAUCAAGGAUUUCACUUUAGUCUCCAAACCUGCCUACCUUAAGUUUCAUCGCGAUGUUGACCAAUUUUGUGUUGAGCAUGACUCGAUGGAUUCUCGUUUUUGUACAAAUGUUCAGGAAGACAUUUUCACCACAGUCAUUGUUCCUAAGGGGUUGUCUGUUCAUCACUAUGUUGACUUAGAGCAUAUCCGUUCUCACCCCAUGAAAUAUCCAGGAGCCAUUGAACUCGUUGAGUCCUCUGGUCUUGCUGCUCCGUUUGCUCUUCACCAUGAUUACAAUCAUGCGGCUAUUCAUCAGUUUUGUGCCACGUGUUUCUUUGGUCCUGACAAGACCAUCACCUGGAUGACCUCUGACACCAAGCUCACCGCCUCUUAUGCUCAGUUUGUUGCCGCUCUUGGGUUUCCUGACACUGGGUUCAAAAUCCAUAAGUCUGACCGAAAUCAUGCACCCAAAAACAUUGAGGCCAGUGGCUAUCUUCUCAAACCUCGUAGUGAGCUUGAUGAAGUGGAAAAGGGCAGAGAUCUCAAUCAAGUAUCUAUUUGGCGAUCUCCCUUUUUCAUUAUCUAUCAGUGUGUCAUUUUCACCAUCUAUCCGAAGAUGGGUGACAAAGGGUCCUAUAAUGGGUAUUGUACUGAUCUCAUGUAUUAUCUCUUUGAGCAUCCCAACGGAAAGAUCAAUGUUCCUCACUUCCUGUGGCAUGAGAUUCGUCUUGCUAGUCUUUAGUACAAGCGGGCCUUUCCUCAUGCUCCUUUUCUUCAGGCCUUCACUGAGAGUAUUGCUCCUUUUCCCAUUGCUCGGACUCAUGUCCAUCCGCGGUGGGUCAUUCCACCUCAUAUGGUGGAUGAUUGGGCUCCCAAGAAAUCCACAUCUGCUCGACGGUCUGCUGCCCAGUCUCACCCUACUCCCCCUAGCUCGGGGUGUUUCGGCCGCAUUGCUCGCUUUCUCGGGAAGGCCCAUUCAGCCAUGAUGAAGGCCUUCUCCUUCCACUAUUCACAAAACUACGAUGUGGUCACUCGCAUGGUCUCUUCUAAGAAUGCUUUGAAGGCUCGUCUGAGAGCCUCCGGAGCCACAGAUGUGAGUUAGGAUGAGCGUAUUCCUGAGGCUCCUCCUUCCGACUUUGGUUUUCCUUCUGGCCCUGAAUGGGCUGAUUUCUUUGACGAGGCAGGAGGCAGUGGUGCCCACGGCGACGACGAUGACAGUGAUGAUCUCUGACGGUGUGGUGGCUUUCUCGGUGCUUUCCCCUUUUCGGUACUUGAUGCCAAGGGGGAGGAAAUUUAUCAUAGAAUUGUUUUACCUCUCUACUAUUUAUGUAUGAUGAGCCAUUAUGUUACGAUGAACCAAUAUGUUGAGCUCGUUGGACCAUUAUGUUUUAUGUUUUAAGUUGAACCACUAUGCUGUGAUAUAUGUGUUCUUAACA